GACGAACGCUGGCGGCGUGCCUAAUACAUGCAAGUCGAACGCAGUGGGGACGGGCGAGUAACACGUGGGUAACCUCCCAUCAGAGGGGAUAACACUUGGAAACAGGUGCUAAACCGAUACUGAUGGAUGGACCCGCGGUGCAUUAGCUAGUUGGUGAGGUAACGGCUCACCAAGGCCACGAUGCAUAGCAGGACUGAGAGGUUGAUCGGACACACUGAGAAGGAGACACGGCCCAGACUCCAAUGGGAGGCAGCAGGGGGGAAUAGUGCACAAUGGGCGCAAGCCUGAUGCAGCCAUGCCGCGUGUAUGAAGAAGGCCUUAGGGUUGUAAAGUACUUUCAGCGGGGAGGCGUCACCCGCAGAAGAGGCACCGGCUAACUCCGUGCCAGCAGCCGCGGUAAUUC
rnacentral:rRNA from 1 species